rnacentral:rRNA from 1 species
UACGAAGGGGGCGAGCGUUGUUCGGAUUUACUGGGCGUAAAGGGCGCGCAGGCGGCUAUCCAAGUCAGGCGUGAAAGCCCCGGGCUUAACCUGGGAGGUGCGUCUGGGACUGGGUGGCUAGAGUUCGGGAGAGGAGAGUGGAAUUCCCAGUGUAGAGGUGAAAUUCGUAGAUAUUGGGAAGAACACCGGUGGCGAAGGCGGCUAUCUGGACCGACAUUGACGCUGAGGCGCGAAAGCGUGGGGAGCAAACAGG